AUGGUUAGCGUCCCACUAUUCCCAUGCCACGAACGCCAGGAGGGCUAUUUCCACACUUCCAGUAGACUCCUCUUCAAAGAAGAAGGCGACGGCUUUUCCUACGUCUAUCUUGAUAUGGAAUCAGAUGGAACAAAAUCUAGAGUGCACAUUUAUAUGUUACAAGGUGGUGUCUGGUGCGUUCAUGCCUCAGCAACAACACAGCUCCCUUGUCAGCCACUAAAACUGAAUACUCUACUUGCUGACAAUAAAAUCUAUAUGGAAGCCACCCUGAGUGAAAUUCUUGUGUUGGAUUUGAUAGCCUUAAGUUUCUCCACAUUUCAUCUCCCGCAAGGGCUUCUUAUUGGUGACCAUGGAACCAUGUUGUCACGGGCAGAUGAUGAUACCGGUGUGUAUCUCAUUCAUUUGGAGGAGUCUCGGCUUUGCAUCUGGCUCCGCACAGGGGAUAACUGGUUGCUGGUGGAUACAAUUUGCUUUCAUGAGAUGUGUGCUCAAUUGGGAAUGUCUGAUAUCACAAAUUGGCUGUUUAUAAAUCAGGUGGGCGGCAAUGCCGAGUUUCUUUUCUUGCAGAUGGGUCAUUGCCUAGUCUAUGUGGGUAUCAAGUGCAGGAAGUUGUGCAAAGUGUUAACAAGCAAGGAUCAAUGGUGGGGUCGUAUCCAUCCUUGUAUGAUGAUCUGGCCUCCCACAUUCCCUGCGCUCAAGAAUGAUCCUCCAAGUUGCAGGUACAGGUUUUGCGAUGAUCAUGACGCGAGAGCGCUGUUUACUUGUUUUGGAGUUCCUCUUCUGCUUCUUCUUCGAUCAGGGGAUAGGUUCCAGGUCGGCAGCCUGGGCUAG
rnacentral:rRNA from 1 species